GAAGUGGGGAUGACGUCAAGUCCUCAUGGCCUUUAUGUCUAGGGCUACACACGUACUACAAUGGCCGGUACAAAGGGCAGCCACUCAGCGAUGAGGCGCUAAUCCCAUAAAGCCGGUCUCAGUCCGGAUCGCAGUCUGCAACUCGACUCCAUGAAGUUGGAAUCGCUAGUAAUCGCGGAUCAGUACGCCGCGGUCGAAUACGUUCCCGGGCCUU
rnacentral:rRNA from 1 species